ACCUCAGAACUAGGAGAGCUCAGAAGCUCCCCAGACAUUGCCCUGCAGACACAACUUCACCCCUUUCUGCUCUCCCUGCCUCCUCUGGGGAAGUCCCAAGUAUUUUUAUACUUCCAUAGUGCUCAGGAAUAUCUGCAGAUAAGAAGACUACCAAGCCCAGGAUUUCCAGACAAACACCGUGCCUGAUUGUGGGAGAAAUUGGGAACCCCUUGGAUUAAGUCUUGCAUGACAAUAACAUUUGCGCAAAAUUCUGAACUCUGUGUCUGGUUGCCUGGCUACGUGUUUCCGGUGGAUCAACAAUCAACCACCUUAUUAGUUCCUGGGCCUAUGAAAAUUAAUGUAAAUAUAGUGCAUUUACAACUAAAGUCCAGCUUUUAUACUGAAGAUGAGUUCCAGGAAGGACAAGAAUUAUAAGGAAUGCACAAAAGGACUGAAAUUUAUAGUAUUAUUAAAUAAUGACUCCUAAGCCUAAUAAGCUGAUAUUUACUUCUUUUGUCCCCUAAUUAGUAAGCACUGUCAUGUUUUAUGCUUUAUUUUAAAAAGGUAUUGGCGGAAAAAGGCAGUCAAGACUAUCAAACAUAAUCUGAAGGUCGUCAUUUCUGGUGUUGCUGAAAUAAAAUAAAGAUAACUGUAUUACAA